rnacentral:rRNA from 1 species
AUUGAACGCUGGCGGCAUGCCUAACACAUGCAAGUCGAACGACUGGCGGACGGGUGAGUAAUGACGGGGAAACUGCCCUAGGGAGGGGGAUAACUACGGGAAACGGUAGCUAAUACUGCAAACCAUGGGCUCGGCUCAGAUGGGCUUAGCUGGUGGGUGGGGUACCGGCACACCGAGGCGACGAUCCCUAGCGGGUCUGAGAGGCGGACCAGCCACACUGGGACUGAGACACGGCCCAGACUCCUACGGGAGGCAGCAGUGGGGAACGUUGGACAAUGGGGGAAACCAUGACCCAGCCAUCCCGCGUGUAUGAUGAAGGCCUUCGGGUUGUAAAGUACUUUUGGCAGAGAAGCGGUAGCUGCAGAAUAAGCACCGGCUAACUACGUGCCAGCAGCCGCGGUAAUUC